UAACGAAUAUUCCGCAAUGGGCGCAAGCCUGACGGAGCAAUGCCGCGUGUAGGACGAAGCCCUUCGGGGUGUAAACUACUGUCAGGUCCCAGAAACGUAAUGAUCGGGACCAGAGGAAGGGCCGACUAACUCUGUG
rnacentral:rRNA from 1 species